GAGUCUAUGCCCUUCAUAGAGGCUUUGCGAUAGUUAUAUUUCUCAAAAGGACCAGAUAAUUUCUGCCUUAUUCAUGUUAGCCUCGUGCCUGUGCUCGGUGUCGUUGAGGAACAGAAAACAAAACCUACACAACACAA